UACGUAGGGGGCUAGCGUUGUCCGGAAUCAUUGGGCGUAAAGAGCGUGUAGGCGGCUCGGUAAGUCCGCUGUGAAAGUCCAGGGCUCAACCCUGGGAUGCCGGUGGAUACUGUCGGGCUAGAGUCCAGUAGGGGAGUGUGGAAUUCCCAGUGUAGCGGUGAAAUGCGCAGAUAUUGGGAGGAACACCAGGGGCGAAGGCGGCACUCUGGGCUGGUACUGACGCUGAGGAGCGAAAGCGUGGGUAGAGAACAGG
rnacentral:rRNA from 1 species